rnacentral:rRNA from 1 species
AGGAGCGACCUAAGGCAAAACCGGUGACUGGGGCUAAGUCGUAACAAGGUAGCCGUACCGGAAGGUGUGGCUGGAACACCUCCUUU